rnacentral:rRNA from 1 species
AUGAGCGCUGGCGGCGUGCCUAAUACCUGCAAGUCGAGCGCACAGACGAGGAGCUUGCUCCUCUGACGUUAGCGGCGGACGGGUGAGUAACACGUGGAUAACCUACCUAUAAGACUGGGAUAACUUCGGGAAACCGGAGCUAAUACCGGAUAAUAUAUUGAACCGCAUGGUUCAAUAGUGAAAGACGGUUUUGCUGUCACUUAUAGAUGGAUCCGCGCCGCAUUAGCUAGUUGGUAAGGUAACGGCUUACCAAGGCGACGAUGCGUAGCCGACCUGAGAGGGUGAUCGGCCACACUGGAACUGAGACACGGUCCAGACUCCUACGGGAGGCAGCAGUAGGGAAUCUUCCGCAAUGGGCGAAAGCCUGACGGAGCAACGCCGCGUGAGUGAUGAAGGUCUUCGGAUCGUAAAACUCUGUUAUUAGGGAAGAACAAAUGUGUAAGUAACUAUGCACGUCUUGACGGUACCUAAUCAGAAAGCCACGGCUAACUACGUG